GGAUAUAUUCAGGAAUUAUAUAGCUGUAGAAGCAGUUUCUCAGCCAAAUCCAAUUGUCUAGUUUGACUAUUUUUACUAUUACUAGCUUUGGGACUUUAAAGAGGAACAUUUCUACUUGCUUCCUGAGACUUCACAGAUUCCGGAAGAAAUUUCACAGGAGACAAAUUUUCUGACUGCCUGUGUGACUACGUCAGAACAUGUAAUCCCUGUAAAGUGGAAAUAAUCUUUUUUGGGGGUUUUGCUUUUUGCCCAAACUUCCUAAUUUGCAAACUCUUCAGAGAAGUGACUCAACUGAUUUGCUCAAUGCCUGGCACAGUUUGGCAAUGAGAUGAAAUAAUUCUAAUAACUUCCUUAACUGCAGUGCCCUGGUUGCCUCUGUUGUGGUCUCUUGGCUUUGCCUGCACAGAAAAUAUCUGUCAUUAUCCUGCUAGACAUAAAUAACAGCUUCUUUGGAAGACAGAGAUUGUAUUUUUUACUGGACUUAUCUACUCUUAUUUUCCAUAAGCAACAGCCACCCCACCCUGUGUGUGCAAUGAGGCCACUGAGUCACCAGCACGAAGGAGUGACCAGCUCAUACAUCUCAUCAGGGAGGACUCAAAAUCCCUUCCAAAGAAGAGAAGAGACAUCUUUCUUCAGAUGAUAAUUAGAGGGUGAACAUCAGCCCCAGGACACCAAGGCAUCCCCAGACCGAGGGCUCUGCACAGCAGGAGAUGUUGGCACCCUCUCUGAUGGCAUCCAUGGUCAAAUCCAGCCCUGAUGAAAUCCAGCAGGUCAACCUCUCCUGUAGACCUUGAUCCUGUGAGAGGAACUACAGGGAUGGAUUUUCAAACUCACUCAGAACCAGCUGGAUUGAGGCCUUAUCUGAGAUAGCAAUAGAAUCAGCCAUGUGAUUUCUUUUCCAUGUUUACAGGGGCAAUAUUUUUCCAAAGUUCAAAGUCUUCCUCUGCAGGAAGCAUGUGAUAUGCUUUGCAGUCACACCAUAUUUUGGUGCUAUGAACAAUUAAAAAAAUCAAUUUCCGGAGCAAUAUUUUCUAUGUUUGUAAUCUCUGAACUAAUUACAGGGCUGGAAAAUCAAUAGCUAUCUGGAAAUCUUUCCAAUACAGCUAACUAAGCAUGCUGCAUAUCAUGCUGGAAUAUAUUCUUCACAAACACAUGCUGCUCAUGACCAUCUCCCAGAUCACACAGGCAGAUGAUAUCACUGUUAAUAAGCCUCUGUGCUUCAGUGCACUGCAAUGGCAGCAUUUACCAAAAUCUGCAGGGGGGAUUGGGCAGAGCAAAUAGCACAGUACAUGAGAGCUGGAGCAAUGCCUGUGCCAGCAUUUUAAGCCAAUGACAAAAACAGUUGAAAGACUCAUUUAGUUCAACAGGAACCUACAAAAAGAUUAUGAAAUAAAGUCAUUAAAAGUUCAUGCCUUAGUUAUGAUGUUGUUUUUUUCAUCAUGCUGUAUUAAGAUAAAAAGUAAAACCUUUGGUGACUGAAAAUAACCUCUUUGUCUAGUUUCCUAGCAAGAGAGAAGUGGUGUUAAAUGGGUAGUUUGAUGACAUCAAAAACACAUGUGAAGAGGAAGGGUGUUGCUCUGAUGGAUGGAUCUCCUCUUGCUGUACAAACACCCUCUGUUGACCAUGGCAGCUCAGUUGGAGCCAAAGCUCAAACCCUUGUGCUGAUGCUCUUCACUGCUUCCCACACACACUGCAGGCAUUGCUGGGAUCUUCUCCAAGAUGCUGCCGCCUCCCUUGUGCCCUGCAAGAGCUCAGUGUGCUCCUCCUUGGUAUGCUGGAGUUUGUGCUGCUGCUAAAUGAAGAGGAAAUAUUCCCAUCGGACACGGUGCCAGCAGCACAGCAAGUGGAUAAGAAGCACAGACCAGAGUACAGGGGAUUUUCCCCUGGCUCCCAUUUGCACUCCUGCUUGGUACAAGAAAAUGAUGAAUUCUGAGCUGUCACAAAGCCACAAAAAAUUUGCUCUGAUUUUAUAUGUUUUUCUCUGAUUAUUCUUCAUAGCUUUUUCCCCCCCAGUGAACUGACAUCUCUGCCCUCACUCUCUCCCCAAGCCGGGAGAUUCCUGCAGUUCUCCAAGGUGGUGAUCCUCAUCCUGGAGUGGAACUUUGGGUCUGGUAGCCCAUGAGUUAAGGUGCAGCAUACACCUUGUCCCAGUCCUCAUCUCAGGAGACAGGCUGUGAUUUAUAGUCCCUCCUAAAUAAUUUGGCAAGUUAGUUAUGCUCAAAGAAUUUGAAUUUUUGAGCUGGACAUGAUGCCUGUAGUGAUCUGGAUUGGAACUAUUGUCAUUAUUAAUUUCUGUUUGUAUUUCUGUAGCACUCCCAUGUGCAGAUGAGGAUUUCCUGUGCAUGGUGCAGCACGUUGGCACAGAGAAAGGAGCCCUUUCUGUCAGCUCCAGGCUGACAGCCUGCCUGGAACAGCAAGCCCAAACCUGAGAGGGGCUGGGGGUGUUGAUGGCAACAGAACACAAAACACACACUCCAAUGGUGUGGCUCUGCUAAUCUGGGCUGUUUCCUGCCAAGAAGCAACAACUACAAAAAUAUUGUGCUUAUCAUUACCACAGUAAAAGUUUCUCUUUUAACUUCUUAGGCUGAAAUGACCUUGAUGGUGACGCAGAGCUGCGGGUGCCACGCGCUGCUCAGGCUCUGCAGGACCAGACCUACAGCUGCUGCACUAAACUUCAAUGUCUUCUCUUCAGAUGAUGAUGUGUUUGGACUUUCCUUUUAUUCUUGCCAAUCUAAUGUCAUAUUGCCUUCAAAUAAAACUCAGUUGGUGUGUGAGAACUCA